rnacentral:rRNA from 1 species
GACGUAGGGGGCCAGCGUUGUUCGGAAUUACUGGGUGUAAAGGGUUCGUAGGCGGUGCGGCAAGUCGGGCGUGAAAUCUUUGGGCUCAACCCAGAGGCUGCUUCCGAAACUGCUGUGCUUGAGUGUGGGAGAGGCGCGUGGAAUUGCAGGUGUAGCGGUGAAAUGCGUAGAUAUCUGCAGGAACACCCGUGGCGAAAGCGGCGCGCUGGACCACUACUGACGCUGAAGAACGAAAGCUAGGGGAGCAAACAGG